GUAAUUAUGUUAGGAGAGAUUCUCAGUUCAAUCUAAUCCUGUCUAAACAGGCUGAAAGAAAUUAGUCACUCAGAAUUAUAUAAAAGGCUCUAUUGAGUCUUGCAAUGGUAAACAACAGACCCUGGAGUUUGAGGACAACACCAAGGUACUGCCAUACUUGAGGUGGAGAUGGCGUUUCUCAGCCAGUAUCGUACUGAAUAGGCAAAAGCUGGAAGCAGUCCCUUUGAAAACCAGCACAAGACAACGAUGACCUCUCUCACCACUCCUAUUCAACAUAGUAUUGGAAGCUCUGGCCAGAGCAUUCAGCCAAUCUUGGCAGAUUGAGGUACUGCAAAAAUCAUGAGCAGAAGACUUUAUGCCAUUGAAUGCCAUUGAGACGGUCAAUGUAACAAAGGACAGCUGUUUGUUUUUCUUCUGCUUUUCAUGGGCCAGUAUCAACUAAAGAUUGUCAGUUUUUAAGACCUUACUUAAGGAUGCAAUGAUUAGUAAAGAAAAUUCAACAAU
ensembl:lncRNA novel transcript